CACGCUGUAAACGAUGGAUACUAGACGUGGUGGGUCUUGACCCCUGCCGUGUCGAAGUUAACACGAUAAGUAUCCCGCCUGGGAAGUACGGUCGCAAGACUAAAACUCAAAGGAAUUGACGGGGGCCCGCACAAGCGGUGGAUCAUGUGGUUUAAUUCGAAGCAACGCGAAGAACCUUACCUGGAUUUGACAUCCUUUGAAUACAUUAGAGAUAGUGUAGGCUCGCAAGAGACAAAGAGACAGGUGC
rnacentral:rRNA from 1 species